AUUGAACGCUGGCGGCAUGCCUUACACAUGCAAGUCGAACGGCAGCGGGGGAGAAGCUUGCUUUUCCUGCCGGCGAGUGGCGAACGGGUGAGUAAUACAUCGGAACGUGCCCUGUAGUGGGGGAUAACUAGUCGAAAGAUUAGCUAAUACCGCAUACGACCUGAGGGUGAAAGUGGGGGACCGCAAGGCCUCAUGCUAUAGGAGCGGCCGAUGUCUGAUUAGCCAGCUGGUGGGGUAAAGGCCUAGCAAGGCGACGAUCAGUAGCUGGUCUGAGAGGACGGUCAGCCACACGGGGACUGAGACACGGCCCAGACUACUACGCGAGGCAGCAGUGGGGAAUUUUGGACAAUGGGCGAAAGCCUGAUCCAGCAAUGCCGCGUGUAUGAAGAAGGCCUUCGGGUUGUAAAGCACUUUUGUCCGGAAAGAAAUGGCUCUGGUUAAUACCUGGGGUCGAUGACGGUACCGGAAGAAUAAGGACCGGCUAACUACGUGCCAGCCGCCGCAGUAAGAC
rnacentral:rRNA from 1 species